GUGCUUGUCUCAGUAGCAUAUAUACUAAACUUGGAACGAUACGGAGAAGAUUAGUAUGGUCCCUGUGCAAGGAUGACACGCAAAUUUGUGAAGUGUUUCAUAAUUAC